AACCAAUUCUAGCCCGCAAGCCCAUUCACACUAAAUUAUUAAUAUAACAUAAAAUAAAACAUUUAUUCAACAACAAAAAGUAUAGGAGAUAGAAAUUUUAAUACGGCGCUAUAGAGAAAGUACCGUAAGGGAAUGAUGAAAGAAAAAAAUCAAAGUACAAAAAAGCAAAGAUUACCCCUUGUACCUUUUGCAUAAUGAGUUAACUAGUAAAAACUUAACAAAAUGAAUUUCAGCUAAGUACCCCGAAACCAGACGAGCUACUUAUGAACAAUUUAUCGAGAACCAACUCAUCUAUGUAGCAAAAUAGUGAGAAGAUUUGUAAGUAGAGGUGAAACGCCCAACGAGCCUGGUGAUAGCUGGUUGUCCAGAAAAUGAAUAUUAGUUCAGCUUUAAAAAUACCAAAAAUAUGAACAAAUUAUAAUGUAUUUUUAAAAGUUAGUCUAAAAAGGUACAGCCUUUUAGAAAUGGAUACAACCUUAACUAGAGAGUAAGUUUUAACAUUAAACCAUAGUAGGCCUAAAAGCAGCCACCAAUUAAGAAAGCGUUAAAGCUCAACAAUAAAAUAAUAUUAAUUUCAAUAAUAAACAGUCAACUCCUAAUCUAAUACUGGACUAAUCUAUUAAGAAUAGAAGCAAUAAUGUUAAUAUGAGUAACAAGAAAUAACUUCUCCCCAGCAUAGUUUAAGUCAGUAUCUGAUAGUACUCUGACUAUUAACAGCAAAAUAAGAGUAACCUAACUAUAAAUAACUUAUUAACCAUACUGUUAAUGCGAAAUCCGACACAGGAAUGCACUUAAGGAAAGAUUAAAAGAAGUAAAAGGAACUCGGCAAACACUAAACCCCGCCUGUUUACCAAAAACAUCACCUCCAGCAUAACUAGUAUUGGAGGCACUGCCUGCCCAGUGACGACCGUUAAACGGCCGCGGUAUCCUGACCGUGCAAAGGUAGCAUAAUCACUUGUUCUCUAAAUAGGGACUUGUAUGAAUGGCCACACGAGGGUUUUACUGUCUCUUACUUCCAAUCAGUGAAAAUUGACCUUCCCGUGAAGAGGCGGGAAUAUAUUAAUAAGACGAGAAGACCCUAUGGAGCUUUAACUACUUAGCCCAAAGAAACAAAUUUCAUUACUAAGGAAACAACAACACUCUUUAUGGGCUAACAGCUUUGGUUGGGGUGACCUCGGAGAACAAGAAAACCUCCGAGCGAUUUUAAAGACUAGACCUACAAGUCGAAUCACGCAAUCGUUUAUUGAUCCAAAAAAUUGAUCAACGGAACAAGUUACCCUAGGGAUAACAGCGCAAUCCUAUUCAAGAGUCCAUAUCGACAAUAGGGUUUACGACCUCGAUGUUGGAUCAGGACAUCCCGAUGGUGCAACCGCUAUCAAAGGUUCGUUUGUUCAACGAUUAAAGUCCUACGUGAUCUGAGUUCAGACCGGAGUAAUCCAGGUCGGUUUCUAUCUAUUAUGUAUUUCUCCCAGUACGAAAGGACCAGAGAAAUAAGGCCAACUUUAAAUAUGCGCCUUAAAUUAGUUAAUGAUAUCAUCUUAAUUAACUUCACAAACAAACUUUGCCCUAGAGAAGGGCUUU
rnacentral:rRNA from 1 species